rnacentral:rRNA from 1 species
UACGAAGGGGGCUAGCGUUGUUCGGAAUCACUGGGCGUAAAGGGCGCGUAGGCGGCCGAUCAAGUCGGGGGGUGAAAGCCUGUGGCUCAACCACAGAAUUGCCUUCGAUACUGCGGGUCUCGAGUCCGGGAGAGGUGAGUGGAAUUCCUAGUGUAGAGGUGAAAUUCGUAGAUAUUAGGAAGAACACCAGUGGCGAAGGCGGCUCACUGGCCCGGUACUGACGCUGAGGCGCGAAAGCGUGGGGAGCAAACAGGG